rnacentral:lncRNA from 1 species
CCCAAAUGUCCGUGGAACCGGCCCCACUAACCUGCAUCCAGCUGCCUCUUCCACCUGGGCCCUGCUCUCAGAUGGAAGUGUCACCAAACACCCAGAUCGCCGUGCUCCUGCUUCUCUGGGAAGCCCCAGGGCUGCGACAGCAGGACGAUGAGCUGGCAGAGCUUCGCACAGGCUGCCUGGAAACUGGCACAGCUGCAUUCAUCAGAAGAAACAGUUGCAGCCGGGUGUGGUGGCUCACGCCUGUAAUCCCAACCCUUUGGGAGGCCGAGGCCGGCAGAUCACUUGAAGUCAGGAGUUCAAGACCAGCCUGGCCAACAUGAGUGGACACAACCUGAAAACCAACUGGACUGAGCAUCCUUCUCCUAAAAUCUCAGCCAGAAGCCACGAUGGAGGGUCCUGGGAAGGGAAGAGAUGUGAAGAUUUCUGUGAUUCUAAAACCUUGGGUCUGCCUGCAAACUUCUCUCUGAUCCCAGCCGAGAGCUGUGCACACGCUAGCUAGCCCUGUCACACAAUAGCCCAGUGUUCCCGUCACAGUGCCUGGGAAUGAGAGGCUUUUGAGGCCACAGAGCUAUGACAAGUCCCCAGGUUGAAUUGACUCUGGGAGGACAAAUUUCUGAGAGACUCACGGGACCCUUAUCCAGGACAACCUCACAAAGAUCCCUGAAACUGAGCUUCCUCUGCUUCGUGCAUAGUUUGAGGUAUAAACUUUCCUUGUGUCUCGGUCAGAUGAAGUGAAGGAUGAAUAUUAUCCCAGGCUAAAGUAACGAAAAGUCCAGAAGCCAGCGAUGACAGAGAUGUGUGUGGAAGAAGGCUGUGAGCAUUUCCAUCAAACCCUGUGAGUUUCCGAAGAUCUUAUCCCGAAGAUAUGUGUUUGGCCAAUAAAACACUGAAUAAAAAUCCA